rnacentral:rRNA from 1 species
GACGAACGCUGGCGGCGUGCCUAAUACAUGCAAGUCGAACGCAGUGGGGACGGGUGAGUAACACGUGGGUAACCUCCCAUCAGAGGGGAUAACACUUGGACACAGGUGCUAAACCGAUACUGAUGGAUGGACUCGCGGUGCAUUAGCUAGUUGGGGAGGUAACGGCUCCCCAAGGCCACGAGGCAUAGCGGACCGUAGAGGGUGAUCGGGCAGACUGGGACGAAGACACGGCCCAGACUACUACGGGAGUCAGCAGUGGGGAAUCUACGGCAAUGGACGAAAGUCUGACCGAGCAACGGCGCGGGAGUGAAGAAGGUUUUCGGAUCGUAAAACUCUGUUGUUAGAGAAGCGGUAUCUAACCAGAAAGCCACGGCUAACUACGUGCCAGCAGCCGCGGUAAUAC